rnacentral:rRNA from 1 species
CUCCGUAGGUGAACCUGCGGAGGGAUCAUUACACAAAUAUGAAGGCGGGCUGGAACCUCUCGGGGUUACAGCCUUGCUGAAUUAUUCACCCUUGUCUUUUGCGUACUUCUUGUUUCCUUGGUGGGUUCGCCCACCACUAGGACAAACAUAAACCCUUUGUAAUUGCAAUCAGCGUCAGUAACAAAUUAAUAAUUACAACUUUCAACAACGGAUCUCUUGGUUCUGGCAUCGAUGAAGAACGCAGCGAAAUGCGAUAAGUAGUGUGAAUUGCAGAAUUCAGUGAAUCAUCGAAUCUUUGAACGCACAUUGCGCCCUUUGGUAUUCCAAAGGGCAUGCCUGUUCGAGCGUCAUUUGUACCCUCAAGCUUUGCUUGGUGUUGGGCGUCUUGUCUCUAGCUUUGCUGGAGACUCGCCUUAAAGUAAUUGGCAGCCGGCCUACUGGUUUCGGAGCGCAGCACAAGUCGCACUCUCUAUCAGCAAAGGUCUAGCAUCCAUUAAGCCUUUUUUUCAACUUUUGACCUCGGAUCAGGUAGGGAUACCCGCUGAACUUAAGC